CAUUCAAGAUUCCCCUAUUGAUACACCCCAGGAUUUCAUUAGCCCUUUUGGUCAACAGUGUCACGCUGCAAACUCAUGCUCAGCUCCUUAGCCACCAUGACCUCCAAAUCUUUUUCAAUCACCCAGGACAGAGUCCCCAUCCUCUAAGCAAGGACUACAUUCUUUGAUCCGAGAUGGGUAACUUUACAUUUAGCCGUAUUGAAAUGAAUAUUGUUUGCUUGUGCCCAGUUUACCAAGUGACCCAGUUGGCUCUGUAUCAGUGACAUGUCCUCUUCGUUAUUUAUCCCUCCCCCAGUUUUUGUGUCAGCUGCGAACUUUAUCAGCGAUGAUUUUAUGUUUUCUUCCAGGUCAUUGUUAAAAAUGUUUAAUAGCGUAGGGCCCAAAAGCAAUCCCCACGGGACCCCACUAGAAACGCAACCACUCAAUGACAAUUCUCUCUUUACGAUUACAUGUUGAGAUCUGUCCGUUAGCAACCUUCGAAUCCAUUUAAUGUGUGCUGUGUUAAUUUUGUGGUGAUUUAGUUUUUAGAUUCAAAUGUUGUUUGGUACCCAGUCAAGUGCCUUACAGAAAUCUAGGACGGGAGAAGAGCUUCCACAUGCACGCUGUGGAGGAAGCAACACCUGCAGGUGGAGAGAGCUGAACAGCAUUUGGAGAUUGGCCUAGAUCUGGGGUUGCUGUGGAGAAGGACAUUACAGAGAAAGUAUCAGAGGGCUGGAGAUUUCCGAACCCUGAAGCCACCACAAGAGCAAGAACCGGGUCCAAAGAGAUGUCGGGGGCCAGAUCCUGAAAUCUAACAAUGCACUUUGCACAGUGUCUUCUCCCAUGUGGCAGCAGAGUGCAGGGGGGCUGGAACAAUUCAUAUAGGGGGGAUGCUGAGAGCCAUUGAACCAACCUGUAGAUCCUGUGUAUAAUGGAAACCACUUCAAGCCGGGGUUGCAGCAGGGUGAAGACCAAAGCUAUGGCAGAGGGAGACAUGGCGAUGUCUGCUGGGCUGGAGAGCUGAGGAGGCAGAGGGAUUUGAAGAGGUGGAUCCAAAGAGGGGGAUGUCAGGCAUGGACUCUCUCUUGAUUUGUGUGUGUACAACCCCUAGUCCAGUGGGGCCCAAAGGGUUUGGGGCCUCUGGGUGCUACCACAAUAAUAA